GAGUUGACCCUAGUACGAGAGGACCGGGUCGAACUAGCCACUGGUGUACCAGUUGUUCUGCCAAGAGCAUCGCUGGGUAGCUAAGCUAGGAUGAGAUAAGAGCUGAAAGCAUCUAAGCUCGAAGCCAACUCCAAGAUGAAUCUUCUUUUAAGAGCUCUAGUAGACUACUAGUUUGAUAGGCUGGGUGUGUAAUGGAUGAAAGUCCUUUAGCUGACCAGUACUAAUAGCUCGUUUGCU
rnacentral:rRNA from 1 species